GAUGAAGAACGUAGCGAAAUGCGAUAAGUAAUGUGAAUUGCAGAAUUCAGUGAAUCAUCGAAUCUUUGAACGCACAUUGCGCCCGCCAGUAUUCUGGCGGGCAUGCCUGUCUGAGCGUCAUUUCAACCCUCAUGCCCCUAGGGCGUGGUGUUGGGGAUCGGCCAAAGCCCGCGAGGGACGGCCGGCCCCUAAAUCUAGUGGCGGACCCGUCGUGGCAUCCUCUGCGAAGUAGUGAUAUUCCGCAUCGGAGAGCGAUGAGCCCCUGCCGUUAAACCCCCAACUUUCCAAGGUUGACCUCAGAUCAGGUAGGAAUACCCGCUGAACUUAAGCAUAUCAAUAAGCGGAGGA
rnacentral:misc_RNA from 1 species